CACAAAUUUAAUAUCCUACAACAAAAUAUAAAUAAUCCAAACCAUAUUCUAUGAUUAAAUAUACAGUCAUCCAAAUACCAAAUUACAAAUCCCUAAUAAUACAAAUAACAAUAAUUCAAAUUCAAAUUAUAAAGUAAGGUAAUUUCUUUAAUUCUCUCCAUUUUGUCUUUGUCACCUUGAAAAUAAAAAUCCUAAACCAAAAAGUAAAUAAAAUAUAAUUAACAUGCUACAAUUUUGAUAAUAGUCAUUGUAAAAUUUUAAAUAUUAAAUAUAUAGCAAAUUUACAAUACUAUUAAGAAAAUAAUAAUUAAAUCUAUAAAACCAAAAAAAUAGACAAGAUAAAUCUACAAAGCCGAAAAAAAUAGGCAACAUUUUAAGUACUCAUGAUGCAUAAUAUGCUUCUAGGUUUGGCCAACUGUUACUUGGGUGAAUUUCCAGUACGUCCCUCAUUUAUUAUCUGAGCAAGAAAUGAAAAAUUAACAUUGAUGGCUACUAAGUAGUGGAUCCUCAAAAGACAAAUCCAAAUCAAGAUGAAUAAAAGACAAACCCAAGCCAAAACGUAGCACUUGUUGGAUGCAAAAAUAAUAAAAAAGAGAAAAAGAAGUGGAGCUUACUGUGAUUUAUGCAAGAUGAUGACUGCUGCUGGACUGUUGGUUGAGAAAUUGUGAAAUCGUGGCUGAGUUGCUAAGAGAUGAAGGGAAAGAGAGUGUGAAAUGUGAGAUUAGGGCCAGCUGCUCUAAUUGCUAUUUCACUUUGCUUUAGCCAAUUGCUUAAAAUUAUAAUAUUAACCUCCCAAUUUUAAAAAGUUUUCAAAUAAAUUUAAGGAUAAAAAAGUAAUUUAAUUAAAUGAAUUGACUUGUAUUCAAUUCGUUUAUGACAUGUCUAUUAAACAAAUCUUAAACGAAUAGACGAAUCUAAAUCUUUAAACCCGCAUUCGAUUCGUUUAAUUAGCGAAUCGAAUCGAAUUCACCCAUUUAUUAAACGAAUCCAUUUUUUCAAACCCAAACUCAUUUAAUGCGAAUCGAAUCGAAUCGAAUAAACGAAUCCCGACUCAUAUUGUCACCCCUAGUUUGGAUGAGAUCUUAGUCAAAAGCUGGCUAAAACAUCCUUUUUACUUUUG
rnacentral:lncRNA from 1 species